UACAGAGGGUGCGAGCGUUAAUCGGAUUUACUGGGCGUAAAGCGCGCGUAGGUGGCUAAUUAAGUCAAAUGUGAAAUCCCCGAGCUUAACUUGGGAAUUGCAUUCGAUACUGGUUGGCUAGAGUAUGGGAGAGGAUGGUAGAAUUCCAGGUGUAGCGGUGAAAUGCGUAGAGAUCUGGAGGAAUACCGAUGGCGAAGGCAGCCAUCUGGCCUAAUACUGACACUGAGGUGCGAAAGCAUGGGGAGCAAACAGG
rnacentral:rRNA from 1 species